rnacentral:rRNA from 1 species
AGCGUUGUCCGGAAUUAUUGGGCGUAAAGAGCUCGUAGGCGGUUUGUCGCGUCUGGUGUGAAAACUCAAGGCUCAACCUUGAGCUUGCAUCGGGUACGGGCAGACUAGAGUGUGGUAGGGGUGACUGGAAUUCCUGGUGUAGCGGUGGAAUGCGCAGAUAUCAGGAGGAACACCGAUGGCGAAGGCAGGUCACUGGGCCACUACUGACGCUGAGGAGCGAAAGCAUGGGGAGCGAACAGGAUUAGAUACCCUGGUAGUCCAUGCCGUAAACGUUGGGCACUAGGUGUGGGGCUCAUUCCACGAGUUCCGCGCCGCAGCUAACGCAUUAAGUGCCCCGCCUGGGGAGUACGGCCGCAAGGCUAAAACUCAAAGGAAUUGACGGGGGCCCGCACAAGCGGCGGAGCAUGCGGAUUAAUUCGAUGCAACGCGAAGAACCUUACCAAGGCUUGACAUACACCGGAAUCAUGCAGAGAUGUGUGCGUCUUCGGACUGGUGUACAGGUGGUGCAUGGUUGUCGUCAGCUCGUGUCGUGAGAUGUUGGGUUAAGUCCCGCAACGAGCGCAACCCUCGUCCUAUGUUGCCAGCACGUUAUGGUGGGGACUCAUAGGAGACUGCCGGGGUCAACUCGGAGGAAGGUGGGGAUGACGUCAAAUCAUCAUGCCCCUUAUGUCUUGGGCUUCACGCAUGCUACAAUGGCCGGUACAAAGGGCUGCGAUACCGCGAGGUGGAGCGAAUCCCAAAAAGCCGGUCUCAGUUCGGAUUGGGGUCUGCAACUCGACCCCAUGAAGUCGGAGUCGCUAGUAAUCGCAGAUCAGCAACGCUGCGGUGAAUACGUUCCCGGGCCUUGUACACACCGCCCGUCAAGUCACGAAAGUCGGUAACACCCGAAGCCGGUGG